CGCCUUUUGUAAUCUUAUAAUAGGUCCUGCCUGCCCAGUGACAAAAUGUUUAACGGCCGCGGUACCCUGACCGUGCAAAGGUAGCAUAAUCAUUUGCCCUAUAAUUGAGGGCUUGUAUGAAUGGCAAGACGAGGGCCUAACUGUCUCUAGAAUAAAAAAGAAAUUAUGCUUCAGGUGAAGACACCUGAAUUCUCAUGAAGGACAAGAAGACCCUAUAGAGCUUGACUAUUUAUCUUUUCAACUAAUAUUAUUUAAAAUACUUAGCUAAGUUUAUAGUUUGGUUGGGGCGACCAAGGAACAUUAAAGCUUCCUAAAUCUUAAAAGGCUAUUAGCCUAAAUUUGAUCCGUUUUUCACGACCAACAAAUAAAGCUACCUUAGGGAUAACAGCGUAAUCUUCUUUAAGAGUCCAAAUCUACAAGAAGGGUUGCGACCUCGAUGUUGGACUAGGGUAUCCUAAAGGUGUAGCAGCUUUUAAUACGGUGGGUCUGUUCGACCCUUAAAACCCU
rnacentral:rRNA from 1 species